rnacentral:rRNA from 1 species
CGGGGGCCCGCAACAAGCGGUGGAGCAUGUGGUUUAAUUGGAUGCAAGGCGCAGAACCUUACCAGGGUUUGAACAUCCUGGGAUUUUCUUGGAAACAGGAGAGUGCCUUCGGGAACGCAGUGACAGGUGGUGCAUGGCUGUCGUCAGCUCGUGUCGUGAGAUGUUGGGUUAAGUCCCGCAACGAGCGCAACCCACGUCUUUAGUUGCCAGCAUUUAGUUGGGCACUCUAGAGAGACUGCCGGUGAUAAACCGGAGGAAGGUGUGGAUGACGUCAAGUCAUCAUGCCCCUUACAUCUUGGGCUACACACGUACUACAAUGCUACGGACAAAGGGCAGCAAGUUCGCGAGGACAAGCAAAUCCCAUAAACCGUGGCUCAGUUCAGAUCGUAGGCUGCAACUCGCCUACGUGAAGGCGGAAUCGCUAGUAAUCGCAGGUCAGCAUACUGCGGUGAAUACGUUCCCGGGCCUU